rfam:Phytophthora sojae unplaced genomic scaffold PHYSOscaffold_7, whole genome shotgun sequence.
GCCUCGAUAGCUCAGUUGGGAGAGCGUCAUUGAAGAUCUGAAGGUCCCUGGUUCGAUCCCGGGUCGCGGCA